UACAGAGGUGGCAAGCGUUGUUCGGAAUUACUGGGCGUAAAGGGCGCGUAGGCGGCCUUCUAAGUCGAACGUGAAAUCCCCGGGCUCAACCCGGGAACUGCGUCCGAUACUGCGGUGACUCGAGUCCGGUAGGGGAGUGUGGAAUUCCUGGUGUAGCGGUGAAAUGCGCAGAUAUCAGGAGGAACACCGACGGCGAAGGCAGCACUCUGGGCCGGUACUGACGCUGAGGAGCGAAAGCAUGGGGAGCGAACAGG
rnacentral:rRNA from 1 species